rnacentral:rRNA from 1 species
CGGUGUUUAACUGGCGUGAUGUGGGACGUCCUACCGGUGGGCUUAGCCUCGCGAGGGGCGGCCCAACUAAUAUCCCGUCGCGGUGCUCUUUACUGAGUGUCGAGUCGGGCCGGUACGUUUACUUUGAACAAAUUAGAGUGCUUAAAGCAGGCUAUCCUCGCCUGAAUACUGCGUGCAUGGAAUAAUGGAAUAGGACCUCGGUUCUAUUUUGUUGGUUUUCGGAACCCCGAGGUAAUGAUUAAUAGGGACAGAUGGGGGCAUUCGUAUUGCGACGUUAGAGGUGAAAUUCUUGGAUCGUCGCAAGACGGACAGAAGCGAAAGCAUUUGCCAAAAAUGUUUUCAUUAAUCAAGAACGAAAGUUAGAGGUUCGAAGGCGAUCAGAUACCGCCCUAGUUCUAACCAUAAACGAUGCCAGCUAGCGAUCCGCCGAAGUUCCUCCGAUGACUCGGCGGGCAGCUUCCGGGAAACCAAAGCUUUUGGGUUCCGGGGGAAGUAUGGUUGCAAAGCUGAAACUUAAAGGAAUUGACGGAAGGGCACCACCAGGAGUGGAGCCUGCGGCUUAAUUUGACUCAACACGGGAAACCUCACCAGGCCCAGACACCGGAAGGAUUGACAGAUUGAUAGCUCUUUCUUGAUUCGGUGGGGUGGUGGUGCAUGGCCGUUCUUAAGUGGGUGGAGCGAUUUGUCUGGGUUAAUUCCGAAUAACGAAACGAGACUCUAGCCUAAUAAAUAGUACUACAUUAUAUUAUGAAGAAGGCCCCCUUCUUCGGCCGGGGGGUUUUUACCACCAACAACAAACAAAUUUUGAGGGAGGGACAGGUGG